UACGGAGGAUCCAAGCGUUAUCCGGAAUCAUUGGGUUUAAAGGGUCCGUAGGCGGUUUAGUAAGUCAGUGGUGAAAGCCCAUCGCUCAACGGUGGAACGGCCAUUGAUACUGCUGAACUUGAAUUAUUAGGAAGUAACUAGAAUAUGUAGUGUAGCGGUGAAAUGCUUAGAGAUUACAUGGAAUACCAAUUGCGAAGGCAGGUUACUACUAAUGGAUUGACGCUGAUGGACGAGAGCGUGGGUAGCGAACAGG
rnacentral:rRNA from 1 species